rnacentral:lncRNA from 10 species
GUAAGCACCAGCAUGCCAACGACCUGGGGGGCCACCAGUCCUUGCUCCUCCAGGAGAGGAGGGCUAACUAGGAUAGAAGCUGACUCAAGGGCAGGCACAGUGGUUCAUGCCUGUAAUCCCAGAACUUUGGGAGGCUGAGGUGGGCAGAUCGCCUGAGACCAGGAGUUCAAGAUUGGCUGGGCGACAUGGCAAAACUGUCUCUACAAAAAAUACAAAAAUUAGCUGAGCGUGGUAGCAUGCACCUGUAGUCCCAGCUACUUGAGAGGCUGAGGUGGAAGGACUGCUUGAGUCUGGAGGGUCAAGCUUGCAGGGAUUGACACUGCACUCCAGCCUGAGUGACAAAGUGAGACCCUGCCUAAAAAAAAAAAAAAAGAAGAAAAAGAAAAGAGAGUUUGCCGUAUGGUUAGGCUUAGAAGGUAUCCCAUUGGACAGGGCACGGUGGCUCAUACCUGUAAUCCCUGCACUUUGGGAAGCCGAGGUGGGCGGAUCAAGAGGUCAGGAGUUCAAGACCAGCCUGGCUAUCAGGGUAAGACCCCGUCUCUACUAAAAAAAUACAAAAAAUUAGCUGGGCAUGGUACACACCUGUAAUCCCAGCUACUUGGGAGGCUGAGGCAGAAUUGCUUCAACCAGGACCUGGGAGGCGGAGGUUGCAGUGAGCCGAGAUGGCACCACUGCACUCCAGCCUGGGCUACAGAGCGAAACUCCGUCUCAAAAAAACAAAAAAGG